GGAGUGUAUAAAUACGUAUUUGGAGGGGCGAGACCAGAACUUUUGGAAAGUGUGCCGAAUCUUUACGUAAAUGAUUCAAUUGUCUUAUCAUUUGUGUUAAGUUAUUUAAAGAUGACUAUAUACUUGAACAACAUCGCAUAUUUGACACAGUGUAGUUCUUUUAAAAGAUGUUAACCGAAGAUUACUGCUGUCGCCGCUUGGUCAAACAAAGACGCUAAGGAUCCUUGCCAAAAUGCUAAUAUCCUUAUGUGGCAUAAGUCCCAAAUUAAUGGUCUUUGAGCCGGCGGCGCGACGGCACUGCCCACUUUACGUGACAUUUGUGGUAGCCUAAGCCGGGCUGAAAGCGGCUCAAAAGGCUUAAGCCGCAACUGCCGACUCAUAAAAAGGAUAAACGCUCGGCAUGAGUCAGCAGGCCGACCCACCGACGGGUGCUUCCGCGAAAUGCGACACCGGAGGCAGGUCCACUCACAAAGGACCGCCGAGAUGCGACAAAAAAUGAGAUACUGCACCGAGGUGUCGCAGAACGUCUCGAUUUUUCCCAUAUUUUUAACCCAAAAAUUGCUCCGUGUCCAAGUCAGCUGGCGGGGCCAACAGAAGGCCGAUUACAAGGUGUGUCAUCUGCCGCACAAUAGGAAAUAUAAAUCCUUUCGUUUUAUUACAACGACGUAAAAAACUCGAAAACAAGCGAGGCAGCCGGGAGUGCCAGUGGGACUUCCGGCAGGGUACAAAAUAUUCGACUGAAGGACGGCUGCUCGGCACGAGCGGGGGAUGCAACCCUUUGGCACGGGCCGGAAUCGGGACUCCCUUCGAGAUUGAGAUGGUGAAAGAUGAUCGCCACAGUCCUUGGCACGGGCUUGUUAAAGGAAGGGGACUUAGGGCCUACAAUGAGUUGAAUCGAGACCUUGAAAAUUGAAAAAAUCUCUAAUCGUCCCCCACUCGAAACCAAUCCAAACUCUUCAUAUUAUCAAUAUUUUCCGAUUUCUAGAUGGAUAGAGAAAAAUAUUUUUAAGUGGCAACUAUUUGUCAUGACUUUAAAGAUAAUUCAUUGUAAUGGUCAAUUAUUGAUUAUAUGAUAUGUGUUUUGAUAAUCUAAUAACACGUUUCAACUGGUUCUAUUUUAUUACGUUUUAAG